UACGGAGGGUGCAAGCGUUAUCCGGAUUCACUGGGUUUAAAGGGUGCGUAGGUGGGUCUGUAAGUCAGUGGUGAAAUCUCCGGGCUUAACCCGGAAACUGCCAUUGAUACUAUAGGUCUUGAAUUAUCUGGAGGUGAGCGGAAUAUGUCAUGUAGCGGUGAAAUGCUUAGAUAUGACAUAGAACACCGAUUGCGAAGGCAGCUCACUACGGAUCGAUUGACACUGAGGCACGAAAGCGUGGGGAGCAAACAGG
rnacentral:rRNA from 1 species